UACAGAGGUCCCAAGCGUUGUUCGGAUUCAUUGGGCGUAAAGGGCGCGUAGGCUGCGGGGUAAGUCGGGUGUGAAAUCUCAGAGCUCAACUCUGAAACUGCAUUCGAUACUGCGGUGCUUGAGGACUGGAGAGGAGACUGGAAUUCAUGGUGUAGCAGUGAAAUGCGUAGAGAUCAUGAGGAAGACCAGUGGCGAAGGCGGGUCUCUGGACAGUUCCUGACACUGAGACACGAAGGCCAGGGGAGCAAACGGG
rnacentral:rRNA from 1 species